rnacentral:rRNA from 1 species
AUACGGAGGGUGCAAGCGUUAUUCGGAAUCACGGGGCGUAAAGGACGCGUAGGCGGGUUGGCAAGUCAGAUGUGAAAUCCUACAGCUUAACUGUAGAACUGCAUUUGAAACUGCUAACCUAGAGUAUGGGAGGGGGAGAUGGAAUUAGUGGUGUAGGGGUAAAAUCCGUAGAUAUCAAUAGGAAUACCGAAAGCGAAGGCGAUCUCCUGGAACAUAACUGACGCUAAGGCGUGAAAGCGUGGGGAGCAAACAGGAUUAGAAACCCUAGUAGUCC